UAUGUACUCCCUCCGUCCGGAAUUACCUGUCGUGAAAAUGGAUGUAUCUAGAACUAAAAUACGUCUAGAUACAUCCAUUUCUGCGACAAGUAAUUCUGAACGGAGGGAGUACAAA
rfam:Triticum aestivum genome assembly, contig: Triticum_aestivum_CS42_TGACv1_scaffold_622122_7DS